GGACUGCGUGGUUUGGGGACGCCCAGUCUCAGCCAGGGCCCUGGGCCUAGAGCCCACACUGGUCCCUGGGGGUCCUCCAGCUCCCCCCACCGAGAUGCUCCCACUGCCUCUUCUCUCCCAGGCAGAGCUGACGGAGGUGAAGGCCGAGGGAGACGCGGCCCGGAAGGAGCUCCACCAGGUCUGUAACCCCCGUGAAAACACCGCUUAGGUGGGCAGAGCUGCUGGGUGUGGUGCCAGCCCCCAAGGACGCCUGUGUCCCUGCCUCCCUGGCCCCGGCUGGCCUCGCAGCGCCCUGCAGACUGACUGGGCAUCGCCAGUCCCACCUGGGCUCUUUGCAACGUGGCCCGGUUGCUUUGCAGGAGAAGCAGUCAGCAGCCAAGCUGGCAGAGGCCCUGCGGGAGCAGGCUGAGAUCGAGAAGGUGCUGAGGAAAGAACGCGAGUGCCUCCGGGAGAGACGCGAGGGCCUCCAAGGGCAGACAGUGGGGGGGAAGACGGAGCAGGCGGCCAGGCUGUCCACGUCACUUAUGCGGGAGAUGGUGGCUGUGAAGCUGGUAGGACGGACAAGCCCGACGUGGGCCUUGGGGAAGAAAGGGUGUGCAGG